rnacentral:rRNA from 1 species
UUUAUGGAGAGUUUGAUCCUGGUUCAGGAUGAACGCUGGCGGCGUGCCUAAUACAUGCAAGUCGAGCGAACAGAUAAGGAGCUUGCUCCUUUGACGUUAGCGGCGGACG